rnacentral:rRNA from 1 species
GACGAACGCUGGCGGCGUGCCUAAUACAUGCAAGUAGAACGCACAGUUUAUACCGUAGCUUGCUACACCAUAAACUGUGAGUUGCGAACGGGUGAGUAACGCGUAGGUAACUUGCCUGGUAGCGGGUAUAACUAAUGGAUACGAUAGCUAAUAACGCAUAAUAUUGUUUAAUUCAUGAUAAAUGAUUAAAAGAUGCUAUUGCAUCACUACCAGCUGGACAUGCGUUGUAUUAGCUAGUAGGUGAGGUAACGGCUCACCUAGGCGACGAUACAUAGCCGACCUGAGAGGGUGAUCGGCCACACUGGGACUGAGACACGGCCCAGACUCCUACGGGAGGCAGCAGUAGGGAAUCUUCGGCAAUGGACGAAAGUCUGACCGAGCAACGCCGCGUGAGUGAAGAAGGUUUUCGGAUCGUAAAGCUCUGUUGUAAGAGAAGAACGGGUGUGAGAGUGGAAAGUUCACACUGUGACGGUAUCUGACCAGAAAGGGACGGCUAACUACGUG